UACAGAGACCUCAAGCAUUAUCCGGAUUUAUUGGGCGUAAAGGGUCCGCAGGUGGCUUGUCACGUCACUGGUCAAAUUUCAGGGCUCAACUCUGAAACCGCCAGUGAUACGGAUGAGCUCGAGCAUGGGAGAGGUACGCGGAAUUACCGGUGUAGUAGUAAAAUGCGUUAAUAUCGGUAAGAACACCAAAUGCGAAGGCAGCGUACUGGAACAUUGCUGACACUCAGGGACGAAAGCGUGGGGAGCGAAAGGG
rnacentral:rRNA from 1 species